UUGCUUAGCUUCUCUUUAUUCUCUCGAGUUGCUAUAUUUGUUUAAAUUUAGCUUCAGGAUGAGUGUGGCAGUCAGUGGUUUAUACUCUAUAUAGCUUUGUGUUUCUGAUUGUAGAGUUUUGGCUUCCAUUCAGCUUAGUUGUUGGUCCAGCUUUGUUUGUUGUACAUGUUGUUCACUGUGACUCAGUCUUUAAACUGUAGUUCAAGAAGAAACAAUUGUAACAAAAUUGUUAUGGUGUUCCAAGCAUUGAACUUGGAUUCUCUAACCCCUUGAGCAAGAGUUGUAUUAUCCUUCUCUUUCAAACCAUUAUUGUGAUUACCCUACGUCUAUUAACUAUUAGAACCCUUUUCUUUAAUAGCUAAUUUUGGAUUUCUUUUGUAAGGUGCCUUCUUUUUAUGGUAUUCUUUAAGCUGGCCGUUUCUAUACUGAAAUAGUGUAUUUUGUUUUAAAAGAAAAAACAUCUAUAUUUUGAGUCUCUUAUCAAGAUUGUUCAGAAACAAAUGGUUGUGCUUUCCAGUUUUCUCUUCCUCUUUCAAGUAUCUUGUUGUUUCAGCUUUCUUCCUAAAUUGUUCUUUGCUUGGAUGAGUUGAAUGUUAAAGUCUGGGUUGCUUACGUUGAAUUAACUGUAAGUAGUAUUUCUGGCAGAUGUGACUCAUGUUCAUACUUCAUACACCUUGGUGAAAGACAUUUUAAGGAAUGUUUCUAAUUCUAGUUUGUUGAACUUUCAUGUGGUGCACAAGAUGUGUCCAAUUUAGUCAAAUAAUACGUGGUGGGCUACCUUUAAAGCCAGUUACAACUACAAGGUGGCACCUACUUCUUUGAUGCCUAUUCUUCUAAGAAAGAUGAUGCAAAUGAGGAAACGUAGAACAGAGAGGGGUUUAACAUCUACCCACUGCUCUCCCAGAAUGGUUGGUCGAUCUUUGGGCAUACACACAUCAAUGACUUAGUGUACAUAUAACAAAGUUGCUUUUGAGUGGUUGAUGAAAUGAGUGUACAUGAUAGAUGAGCUUCCACCUGGAAUUCUGGCCAACUACUUAUUUGCACUCAUCCUCCAUAAUUUGGCGGGAUUCUUUCUAGCUGCAUUCUCAAGGAAUCACCUUUCAUAGUUCAUAUCUAUUAUCUGGCUGGCUGCAUUCAAGCAUUCACCCUUCGUAUCUAUUAUCUGGUGCGCUUCCACAGGUGAGGGGUUGUGACUGACCACUUCAAGCAUUCAUCCUUCAUUGGUUGGUGGAGGGUCAAAUUUACAAUUUUGAAAGAAGUAUUUGUGUUGUUCACUCACCGGAGGUUGAAUGGACUAAUUAUUUGGAAUCUAUUGGUACACACUUUGUCUGUGUCUGUCAUUGUUCUCUACAACUACGAAUUUAUUGCCUUUUCUCUUCCAACCGUAAGAGGAAAAAAAAUCAUGAAGCUGUAUGAACAAUUGAAUUUUACUUUUCUAAAAGUAAAGAGAGUGAGAGCGAAGAAAAGGACUGAAUUGAGUUAAAAGCUUGAGCAUUACAUAAAAAAUUAUUAGGGGCAUUCCGAGAAUCGAACUCAGGACCUCUCGCACCCGAAGCGAGAAUCAUACCACUAGACCAAAUGCCCUCUUUGAUAA